AUGAUGUGGUUAAUUCGAUGCUAACGCGAAAACCUUACCCACCUUUGACAUGUACGGAAGUUGCCAGAGAUGGCUUCGUGCUCGAAAGAGAGCCGUAACACAGGUGCUGCAUGGCUGUCGUCAGCUCGUGUCGUGAGAUGUUGGGUUAAAGUCCCGCAACGAGCGCAACCCUUGUCAUUAGUUGCUACGAAAGGGCACCCUAAUGAGACUGCCGGUGACAACCGGAGGAAGGUGGGGAUGACGUCAAGUCCUCAUGGCCCUUAUAGGUGGGGCUACACACGUCAUACAAUGGCUGGUACAGAGGGUUGCCAACCCGCGAGGGGGAGCUAAUCCCACAAAGCCGAUCGUAGUCCGGAUUGUUCUCUGCAACUCGAGAGCAUGAAGUCGGAAUCGCUAGUAAUCGCGGAUCAGCAUGUCGCGGUGAAUACGUUCCCGGGUCUU
rnacentral:rRNA from 1 species